ACUACUUUGGAGGAUGGGUUUUUCCCCUUUUUGGUUCGCAAACGCUCUAACCCAUCGAGAAGCUCCAUCCAAAUUGGAGUUGAUGUGAGCACUUCCCCAGAGGCAGAGGCUUUUUCUACAAAAGGGUGGGAGCAUAAAAUGUAGGUGAGUCAAUUGCGUGUGGCCUUCAAGUAUUUCGUAUUGUAACAAUAUUCGAUCGGCAUCCAAACAAAGGUGCAUGUACGGUUCCUAAGGGAUACAAUUUUGUCCUAAUCAUCGAGAAAGAUGAAAUAAGUUGAUAGCGCGAUCUCGUACUAACACAUACUCUCUAAAUAUUGAAGAACUUGCAUGCGGCCUUCAAGCCACAACCGCGGUAUGAGUUCUGAUCUCAGACUUUGGUUUGGGGGCUGCUGGCCCCUUCGCGUCGACAAGGAAACUGUGGACGACAAUGGGUUUAGAAUUCGAAUAAAACGAAGACCCUAUCGAACAAAUAGAGGAAAGGGCGGAAAGGGGAAAAAGUAAAGUAUAAGCGACAUAUGGCACGAAAAGGAAAUCCAAUUUCGGUAAGACUUGAUCUGAAUCGUAGUUCAGAUCCAAGUCGGUUCAGUGAGGGCGACCGCGAAAGUCACCGAAUGGGUUCGGUCCGUCUUUUCCUGAUCUUUGUUUGUCCCCCCAAAAAAGGCGUGAGAGGACGUUGCAGAUGUCCGGGACGGACACGACUUCUUCUAA